rnacentral:rRNA from 1 species
GAUGAACGCUGGCGGCGUGCCUAAUACAUGCAAGUCGAGCGAACGGACGAGAAGCUUGCUUCUCUGAUGUUAGCGGCGGACGGGUGAGUAACACGUGGAUAACCUACCUAUAAGACUGGGAUAACUUCGGGAAACCGGAGCUAAUACCGGAUGAUAUUUUGAACCGCAUGGUUCAAAAGUGAAAGACGGUCUUGCUGUCACUUAUAGAUGGAUCCGCGCUGCAUUAGCUAGUUGGUAAGGUAACGGCUUACCAAGGCAACGAUGCAUAGCCGACCUGAGGGGGUGAUCGGCCACACUGGAACUGAGACACGGUCCAGCCUCCUACGGGAGGCAGCAGUAGGGAAUCUUCCGCAAUGGGCGAAAGCCUGACGGAGCAACGCCGCGUGAGUGAUGAAGGGCUUCGGAUCGUAAAACGCUGUUAUUAGGGAAGAACAUAUGUGUAAGUAACUGUGCACAUCUGGACGGUACCUAAGCAGAAAGCCACGGCUAACUACGU